UACGUAGGGUGCGAGCGUUGUCCGGAAUUAUUGGGCGUAAAGAGCUCGUAGGCGGUUUGUCGCGUCGUGCUGUGAAAACUCGGGGCUUAACUCCGGGCCUGCAGUGGGUACGGGCAGACUAGAGUGCGGUAGGGGAGACUGGAAUUCCUGGUGUAGCGGUGAAAUGCGCAGAUAUCGGGAGGAACACCGGUGGCGAAGGCGGUUCUACUGGGCCCUGACCUGGA
rnacentral:rRNA from 1 species